rnacentral:ncRNA from 1 species
CUAAAAGCUGCGAAGGGGAAGAGUAGGCCGUGCUUGAAAACCCGGACAGAGAGCGGGGUCAGGUGAAAGCCCGCCGGGGAUUACCGGUCGAAGAUGGCCCCGGAGCUGCGCGGCUGAAAUAAGACGUAAGCCGUGCCGGAUUCCCCGUUACAGGAUCAGGGUAUGGGGGACAUCCCCGUACCCGCUGAGGCCGCCUUUGCAAAAAGGCGGUAAAAAGGGUGGUACCGCGGAAAAUGAAUACCCCGCCCCUCUG